CAGUAGCCGCGGGAAUACGUAGGGUGCAAGCGUUAAUCGGAAUUACUGGGCGUAAAGCGUGCGCAGGCGGUUUGUUAAGACAGAUGUGAAAUCCCCGGGCUCAACCUGGGAACUGCAUUUGUGACUGGCAGGCUAGAGUAUGGCAGAGGGGGGUGGAAUUCCGCGUGUAGCAGUGAAAUGCGUAGAUAUGCGGAGGAACACCGAUGGCGAAGGCAGCCCCCUGGGACAAUACUGACGCUGAGGCACGAAAGCGUGGGGAGCAAACAGGAUUAGAUACCCCCGUAGUCCCUGUCUCUUAUAC
rnacentral:rRNA from 1 species